rnacentral:lncRNA from 1 species
UCAUCAUACCUAGAAGAUUUCUCUCCCUAAACCAACAAAGGGAGAUUGAUGAUGUGAUAAACCUAUGACUUAUAUCUUAAGACUAUACUUAAGAGUGGUCACUUGAAAAUUUUAGGAACUUUGUGCCUACAAGAACUUGAGCUAAACAUAACCACUCAUGACCAAACUAAUAAAUGAACCUUCUGUCAAAUGAAUUCCGGAUGGUUGUUAACAAUAGCCAUGGAUUCCAUAACUCACCAUGUACAUUCUAAAGGACCUUAGGAGAAAAUUAAUCAAGUAUUGAAGUAUAUUCAGAAUCAUUCAGU